rnacentral:rRNA from 2 species
UACGUAGGGGGCAAGCGUUAUCCGGAAUUACUGGGUGUAAAGGGUGAGUAGGCGGCAUGGUAAGCCAGAUGUGAAAGCCCGCAGCUUAACUGCGGGAUUGCAUUUGGAACUACUAAGCUAGAGUACAGGAGAGGAAAGCGGAAUUCCUAGUGUAGCGGUGAAAUGCGUAGAUAUUAGGAAGAACACCGGUGGCGAAGGCGGCUUUCUGGACUGAAACUGACGCUGAGGCACGAAAGCGUGGGGAGCGAACAGG